UCCUUCUUUUCUUUUGGUCGGUGAGAGUUGGGGGAGAGAGGAAUUUUGACGGGCUCGUGAUAUCGCUUUCCUUUCUAUUUCAUGGCCUGGGGGCCUCUCUGCUCCAUAUCCUACCGACUCCUCCUCCUCCUCUCUCGCCCCUCGUCUCCCUCUAUUUCCUCCUCCUCCUUCUCCUUUCCCUUUCUACGACGCGCCGCCGCUCUCCGGCGGAUCACCUGCGGCCCGCCGCUCGCCCGCCCCAAGAGCCCCACCUGCGCCCGCCCCGCCAUCGCCCCCCAGACGGAAACCCUGGCGCACAAGAUCGGGAAAUCCAUUCGCCGCCCCGGCGCCGCCUCCAAGGCCCGCGCCUACGCCGACAUCAACGUCCACCGCCCCAACGAGUACUGGGACUACGAGUCCCUCACCGUCCAGUGGGGGGAACAGGACGAUUAUGAAGUAGUUCGGAAGGUCGGGAGGGGAAAGUACAGCGAGGUCUUCGAGGGAGUUCAUUGCGCGAACAAUGAGAAAUGCAUUAUUAAGAUUCUAAAGCCGGUGAAGAAGAAAAAGAUUAAGAGGGAAAUAAAGAUAUUGCAGAACCUAUGUGGUGGGCCAAACAUUGUAAAAUUACUUGAUAUUGUCAGAGAUCAGCAAUCAAAGACACCCAGUCUAAUCUUUGAAUAUGUCAACAAUACAGACUUCAAAGUGCUCUAUCCGACUCUAACAGAUUAUGAUGUCCGAUACUACAUUUAUGAACUAUUAAAGGCACUAGAUUACUGUCACUCACAAGGUAUCAUGCAUCGAGAUGUGAAACCUCACAAUGUUAUGAUCGAUCAUGAGCAGCGUAAGCUUCGUCUGAUUGACUGGGGUCUUGCAGAGUUCUAUCAUCCAGGGAAAGAGUACAAUGUACGAGUUGCUUCGAGAUACUUCAAGGGUCCGGAGCUCCUAGUUGACCUGCAAGAUUAUGAUUAUUCUUUGGAUAUGUGGAGCCUUGGCUGUAUGUUUGCUGGGAUGAUAUUCCGCAAGGAGCCAUUCUUUUAUGGGCAUGAUAAUUAUGAUCAAUUGGUAAAAAUAGCUAAGGUAUACUGUUUCUUUCACGGUCUACAUCAAAUGCAUACACUUUGCCCUUUUCCCCGUCUUUUUUCUAGCGGAUGUUAUCUCAAUUACGCAUGCACAGAGGACCGAGCUAUAACAGUAUUGAAGUAUAAACUCUCUGAUGGAAAUGCACAUGAAUUAGGUCUUUUCUGGUUCUUGGAACAGAUGAGUUGAAUGCUUAUCUCAACAAAUAUCGUUUAGAGCUCGACCCCCAUCUUGAGGCACUUGUUGGAAGGCAUAGCAGGAAACCAUGGUCAAAGUUCAUUAAUGUUGACAAUCAGCAUCUAGCAGUUCCUGAGGCCGUGGACUUUGUGGACAAGCUGCUUCAGUAUGAUCACCAGGAGAGGCUAACUGCAAAAGAAGCCAUGGCUCAUCCCUACUUUCAUCCAGUGAGGAGUGCAGAGAGCAGCAGGACUCGUCCUUAAUAGCUUGAAUUUUACGUGCCACUGAUGAAUUUCUGUGCUUGUUUUCGUCUUAUAAUUACAAUCUCUCCUAUUUGUUAUUUGUGUGCGCCGCCCGCUAUUUUCCAAGGGUCUUAGUGUUAGCAGUUUUGUGAGUCAUGCAUUUGUAUAUUAAAAUUUUAGAAUGUCCAUCCGCACUGACUGGUUAUUGUUUGUUUGUUUGUUUUUUUUUGAGCUGUCAUUUUCUCCUACUGUUGGUUUAAGUGUUAAUUUAAGUGUUAUGUUAUCAUUUCGUUUCCUGAUCAAA